GCUUCUCGGCCUGCUAGUCUGCGCGUCCGGGGACUGUCGGUCUCCCCGUCUCGCUUUGGGUUUUGUCGCCCUGUAGUUUUCGUGGCUUGCUUCCGAGUCCUCUGCAGUCUCUCUCUCCCUCCCCCUCCACUCCUGCCUCCGUCUCCCCAGGCUGGCUCAUUCUCCCGCGCUUCGGUGUCCGAGACCUGAGGGCUGCCCGGCGCCCAGCUCUGCCCGGAGAGAGAUGGAGGAGCCGGGGUCCCGCGCAGAGGUCAUGGAAGAAGUGACAUCGUGCUCCUUCAACAGCCCUCUGUUCCAGCAGGAAGACAAGAGAGGGGUCACCUACCGGAUCCCAGCCCUGCUCUACAUCCCCCGCACCCACACCUUCCUGGCCUUUGCAGAGAAGCGCUCCACGAGCAGGGAUGAGGAUGCUCUCCACCUGGUGCUGAGGCGAGGGUUGAGGACUGGGCACUCGGUACAGUGGGGACCCCUGAAGCCAUUGCUGGAAGCCACAUUACCUGGGCAUCGGACUAUGAACCCCUGUCCUGUGUGGGAGCAGAAGAGUGGCUGCGUAUACCUAUUCUUCAUCUGUGUGCGGGGCCAUGUCACCGAGCGUCAACAGGUCAUGUCAGGCAGGAACGCGGCCCGCCUCUGCUUCAUCUGCAGUCGGGACGCUGGCUGCUCAUGGAGCGAGGUGAGGGACCUGACUGAAGAGGUUAUUGGUGCAGAGGUGAAGCGUUGGGCCACAUUUGCUGUGGGCCCGGGUCAUGGCAUCCAGCUGCAGUCGGGGAGGCUGGUCAUCCCUGCAUAUGCCUACUACAUCCCCUACUGGUUCUUUUGCUUCCGGCUACCAUGUAAAGCCAAGCCUCAUUCCCUGAUGAUCUACAGUGAUGACCUAGGGGCCACAUGGCACCAUGGCAGGCUCAUUAAGCCCAUGGCAACAGUGGAGUGUGAAGUGGCAGAAGUGACCGGGAGGGCUGGCGACCCUGUGCUGUAUUGCAGCGCCCGGACACCAAACAGGUCCCGGGCUGAGGCUUUCAGCAUUAACCAUGGUGAAUGCUUUCAGAGGUCAGCCCUAAGCCCUCAGCUCUGUGAGCCCCCGCAUGGCUGCCAAGGCAGCGUGGUGAGUUUCCGGCCCAUGGAGAUCCUUCAAGUGUACCAGGACCCUAAUGGCAAAGAUGCUCCUACCGUUCAGCAGAGCCCUCUGCUGGACAGCGCAAUGAGGCUAGAGCAGGAAGCUGGAAUGCUGUCUGAAUCUUGGCUCUUGUACUCACACCCAACCAGUAAGAAGCGGAGGGUCAACUUAGGCAUCUACCUCAACCAGACCCCCUUGGGUGCUGCCUGCUGGUCCCGCCCGUGGAUCUUGCACUGCGGGCCCUGUGGCUACUCUGAUUUGGCUGCUUUGGAAAAGGAGGGCUUGUUUGGGUGUUUGUUUGAGUGUGGGACCAAGCGAGAGUGUGAGCAGAUUGCCUUCCGCCUGUUUACAGACCGAGAGAUCCUGAGCCACAUGAAUGAGGACUGCAGCAGCCCUGACCUCCUGCCAAGGUCUCUGUCCCUGGGAAGGGAGUAGGUGACAACUGCAAGGAUUCACCGAGCACUUCUAAGCGCCUGGUCUGCUGCUCAGUGCUUUCCCCAAUAAUGUUAUGAACGCUUUGCAGUCCUCCUUGAGACGAGGCUUUGCCCAGAUGAGAACAAGGAGGUGUGGCCCAGUGAGAGGACGUGAAGCCAGCUCUAACUACAGAUCCUUGGCUCACGAGGCAAGCUGCUGGUGUGAGCACUAGCAUCAUUAAGCCCGUCCAAGUGGAGCUUCCACAAGGCAUACUGGCAUUUCCCGCCUUCUCUUUAGCUUUACCAGCCCAGGUUCCGGAGAGAGUUUCUCCACGUGUUGUCCACGCUUCCUCACCCCUCUUCCAAAC